rnacentral:rRNA from 1 species
UGAAGCAAAAUAGUGAUAUCAAGCAAAUCUCAAAAAAUCGUUCUCAGUUCGGAUUGUAGUCUGCAACUCGACUACAUGAAGUCGGAAUCGCUAGUAAUCGUAGAUCAGCUACGCUACGGUGAAUACGUUCUCGGGUCUUGUACACACCGCCCGUCACACCAUGGAGCUG